GUUUCCAAAGAAAAUUAGCACAAAAAAAAGUCAAAAUAUCUGGAUAUGACAUCCACUUAAAAUGACUAACUCAAAAACAAAGUUUUAUAAACUGUUGACAAAUGCAUUCUAUCUUUUUAUUUCUUUUUAAUUUUUAAGAUGAUGCAAACAAAGACAUUCUGAUAGCAUUCACAUUUAGGUUCCUCCUUGUCAAUUGAAAAGCCAUCAAUCGAUUAUUGCUUAGUGUUUGUUUUCACAACCGGCUUUAUCCUAAUCCUCUGUUUCUCUCUGUUCUGACCUGCAGAUGAGUUGACCCUCCAUCUGACACUAAAGUCUUUUAUUCAGCCUAUUUGAACCAGCCUGAAUGCUGAGCUCACCAUUGUCUCCCGUCUCUGGUUUAACCAGGGUUCAUCCUAUCUAGGCAAGCCAGAAGUCAGUCAGUCAUUCAUAUGGUAACCUGGUCUCAGGUUUACAACAGAAGGACCUGACUAGCCUGUUCUUCAUUAGUUAGUCUACAGCAGUGGCUGUUUCUGUACGCAAACGGUAAGAGAAGAAGAGAAAGUCCAUAAGCCUCGGUAUACCUAACGUCUCAUACGUGUUCCACUUCAAAAUAACUUUGUGUCACUUUUAUUUAUAAUUCUGGUAAGUAGAUCCAUCAAACAGUCUUUAUUAAAGACAGUUACAUUAUUAGCAUAUUGAAGAGAGUUUCACUCUGUCUGUCUAUGUGUCCUCCACACCCAGCCAGGUCGGCUCAUUUUCAGUAAGUAGCCCUUUCCUCCACACCCAGCCAGGUUGGCUCAUUUUCAGUAAGUAGACCUUUCCUCCACACCCAGCCAGGCUGGCUCAUUUUCAGUAAGUAGACCUUUCCUCCACACCCAGCCAGGUCGGCUCAUUUUCAGUAAGUAGACCUUUCCUCCACACCCAGCCAGGUUGGCUCAUUUUCAGUAAGUAGACCUUUCCUCCACGCCCAGCCAGGUCGGCUCAUUUUCAGUAAGUAGCCCUUUCCUCCACACCCAGCCAGGUUGGCUCAUUUUCAGUAAGUAGACCUUUCCUCCACAUCCAGCCAGGUUGGCUCAUUUUCAGUAAGUAGUCCUUUCCUCCACACCCAGCCAGGUUGGCUCAUUUUCAGUAAGUAGUCCUUUCCUCCACACCCAGCCAGGUUGGCUCAUUUUCAGUAAGUAGUCCUUUCCUCCACGCCCAGCCAGGUUGGCUCAUUUUCAGUAAGUAGUCCUUUCCUCCACACCCAGCCAGGUUGGCUCAUUUUCAGUAAGUAGUCCUUUCCUCCACACCCAGCCAGGUUGGCUCAUUUUCAGUAAGUAGCCCUUUCCUCCACACCCAGCCAGGUUGGCUCAUUUUCAGUAAGUAGCCCUUUCCUGCCGCCAAAUGACUUCCUCAUGGUUGGAAUGUUAUUCAUAUUUGUCUUAAUUUCAUAAUUAAUAAAGAUUAUUAUUUUUAAACAUGCCAAAAAUGUUUCUAUGUCAAACAGUUUUGUUAUAUUUCAGUCUUCUGUGAUGUAUAUAAAGUGUAAAAUCGGGGGUGAAAACUCCAAAUGGAAUACAUUUCAACUCUAUAUCUGACAUGAUUCAAAAUGGAAUACAUUUCAACUCUAUAUCUGACAUGAUUCAAAAUGGAAUACAUUUCAACUCUAUAUCUGACAUGAUUCAAAAUGGAAUACAUUUCAACUCUAUAUCUGACAUGGUUCAGGUGGCUUCUUCUGUUAAGCCCAUAACCAUGUGUGUGAGGUGUAUACUUUUUGUUUCAAAUUAUAUUUGUUUAUGACUACCCAGAAACACCCUGUGUGACCCUGAUUUAGCCCACUGCAGUAACAGGAUAACUGGAGUUCUUGUAAAAAGGAACAUUCAUUUACAAUAAGACCAAGCUGCUUUGAUAAUGAUGUCAAAUCUCUUGGAUUAGUGUUUCUUUGCUGCCAUCUACAGUAAUAUGUGGAUAUCAGGUGAAUAAGAUUAGGGCUGAUCCUUCACAUAGAAGUGUGCAAUAAUUCACUCCCUCUAAUGGAUUUUAACAGCAUCUGAUUGGUGCAAGCAAGGUUGUAGCUUAGGGAGUUUCCAUCAUAUUACUUCCACCAGUCUAUUCAUUUUAAAUCCGUGAGGGGGAGCGUAUUAGUACCAGUUUCAAUUGGGCAGAAGGGUUUUUAGUGAAUCGGACCACAGCCAAGCAGUCGUGGCUGAGAGAGAGACAGCUGUUGACCAACUGAUCGUGGCUGAGAGAGACACAGCUUUUGACCAACUGGUCGUGGCUGAGAGAGAGACAGCUGUUGACCAACUGGUCUUGGCUGAGAGAGACACAGCUUUUGACCAACUGGUCGUGGCUGAGAGAGAGACAGCUGUUGACCAACUGGUCUUGGCUGAGAGAGACACAGCUUUUGACCAACUGGUCGUGGCUGAGAGAGAGACAGCUGUUGACCAACUGGUCUUGGCUGAGA